rnacentral:rRNA from 1 species
AGUCUGCAACUCGACUCCGUGAAGCUGGAUUCGCUAGUAAUCGCGCAUCAGCCAUGGCGCGGUGAAUACGUUCCCGGGCCUUGUACACACCGCCCGUCAAGCCAUGGGAGCCGGGGGUACCUGAAGUCCGUAACCGCGAGGAUCGGCCUAGGGUAAAACUGGUGACUGGGGCUAAGUCGUAACAAGGUAAC